rnacentral:rRNA from 1 species
AUUGAACGCUGGCGGCGUGCUUAACACAUGCAAGUCGAUCGGUAACGCGGGGGCAACCCUGGCGACGAGAGGCGGACGGGUGAGGGACGCUUGGGGAACUGCCUAUCAGCGGGGGACGACACGGGGAAACUCGUGGUAAUACCGCAUACGCUCUACGGAGGAAAGCCGGGGACCGCAAGGCCUGGCACUGAUAGGUGAGCCCAAGCCGGAUGAGCUAGUUGGCGGGGUAACGGCCACCAAGGCGACGAUCCGUAGCUGGUCUGAGAGGACGAUCAGCCACACUGGAACUGAGACACGGUCCAGACUCCUACGGGAGGCAGCAGUGGGGAAUAUUGGACAAUGGGGGAAACCCUGAUCCAGCGACGCCGCGUGGGUGAAGAAGGCCUGCGGGUUGUAAAGCCCUUUCGGUAGGGACGAAAGCUCUCGGCCUAACACGUCGGGAGGUUGACUUAACCUACAAAAGAAGCACCGGCUAACUCUGUGCCAGCAGCCGCCGUAACAC